GUCCCGUUCGUCUAGAGGCCUAGGACACCAGCCUUUCACGUUGGUAACACGGGUUCGAAUCCCGUACGGGACG
rnacentral:tRNA from 1 species